AGUGGAAGAACGCGAAGCGAGGAUGAGUGAUCCGUGGAGGCAGUAACAGGCGCGGCGAGGGAGAAGUGAUUCCCGAAGAAUCAAGGCUGGGCCGGACCCGGUGGCCUGGCAACAGGGUAGUAGCCUUAAAAUAGAUAAAUAAUUGUCUUUUUGUGUCAAAUUUCAUGAAUUUAAUGUAAAGAUGGGAGAAGUGUUGAAUUAUAGGAGAAACACUCGAGAAAGUUUACAGAUGGUUUCCAUAACAGGUGGUUUUUCAGGGUAAUUACGCAAUCCAACUGCACUCCCUCACCUUCUGCCUUAGGCACAUUUGUCAAUUGAUUUUGGGGUAGGUGGUUAUGUCUCCUUCAACCUGUCUGUGUAAAUCCUACCCUUUGAAGGUGUGCCGAAGCUGUUUCAUAUCGUAGUUAAAUGCUUUAAGGCAGAUGGUGGCUCUAGUUUGAACCCCUGCUUUAUACUUAACAGUGUGACUUUGUGCCAGCUAAUUACAUUCUCCAGAGUUUAAGUAUGCUCAUUGUUCAAAUUGGGAAAAAAAUAAUAGUAUCUGUUCCUUAGAGUUGUUGGAAUGAUUAAA
rnacentral:lncRNA from 10 species